rnacentral:ncRNA from 1 species
CAUGCUUAUUUUAAUCACAUAUAAAGUUUAAAUCUGGCUUGAUUAAUUUAUUUUUUGUAUUUUUUUAUAUGGGAGUUUUUGCUUAUUUAUUUUUUUUUUCUAAAUGGUUUGUUUUUUUUUAUUCAAUUUAUCAUAUUAUUUUUUUAACUGACGUUAGAAUUAGAAUUUUAAUUUAUCACUGACCAAAGUUGUGCCAGCAGUCGCGGUUAUACAAUUAGUGUUUUUUAAUUUUUUUGUUUUAUUAUUUUUUUUGUUGUUUUUGAAUUUAUUAUCUUCUUUUUUAGGUGAAAUUUAAAUUUAAUUUAUUUUUUGGUUAAUUUAAUUAUAUAAGAAAAUUAUUUUUAUAGACUAGGAUUAGAUACCCUAUUAUUUUAAUUGUAAAUUAUUUAAAAUUAAUAGUUAUGAUCUUUAAAUUAAAAGAUUUUGGCGGUAAUUAAUCAUUAUAGAGGAACCUGUCCCUUAAUUGAUAAUCCACGAUAAGUUUUACUUUAAUUUUGCUUUUAUAUCGCUGUCAUUGAAUGUUUUAUUAGAAUAUCUUCUUAAAUCAUUAUUUGAAAAAUGUUAGGUCAAGAUAAAGCUAUAUUGAAGUGGCGAUGGGUUACAUUAAUUUUAUUUUUGAAUUUAUUUUUUAUAUUUUUUAAUGAAAUUGGAUUUAUUAGUAAUUUUAUUUAAUUUAAUUUUAUGAAAUUUGUUCUUAAUUAUGUACAAAUCGCCCGUCGCUCUCACUUUAAAGUGAGAUAAGUCGUAACAAAGUUGGCUUACCGGAAGGUGAGCCAGGUUAUUAC